GCGGUGGAGCAUGUGGUUUAAUUCGAUGAUACGCGAGGAACCUUACCUGGGCUCAAAUGUAUGUUGACGUAUUCUGAAAGGGAUACUUCUUCGGACAAUAUACAAGGUGCUGCAUGGUUGUCGUCAGCUCGUGCCGUGAGGUGUCGGGUUAAGUCCCAUAACGAGCGCAACCCCUACCUUUAGUUGCCAUCAGGUAAUGCUGGGGACUCUAAAGGAACUGCCUACGCAAGUAGUGAGGAAGGCGGGGAUGACGUCAAAUCAGCACGGCCCUUACGUCCAGGGCUACACACGUGCUACAAUGGCCGAUACAGAGGGCAGCUACCUGGUGACAGGAUGCAAAUCUCCAAAGUCGGUCUCAGUUCGGAUCGGAGUCUGCAACCCGACUCCGUGAAGUUGGAUUCGCUAGUAAUCGCGCAUCAGCCAUGGCGCGGUGAAUACGUUCCCGGGCCUU
rnacentral:rRNA from 1 species